GGUAUCGCUUCUCGGCCUUUUGGCUAAGAUCACGUGCAGUGUCCCUGACAGUGCUGCACUUGAUCAGAGAAGCGAUCGCAGGCCGGAGGGCGCCCGGGAGUUGUGCUAUUUAUUUUUGUUGAAAAUUAUUAUUCUUGUAUUGUUUCACUAUUGUUUUUGUCCUGGGUUAGGUGGUGGUUCUGGUGGUGGACUACAGGUGCACCAGCACCUGUAGGGAUCGGGAACCAGUAUGUCCAGUGCGCGGGCUCGCUAUAGGUGAGCCCACAACGGUUUGGCGCAACGUGGCCCACCCUGCUCUCCUGAAUCGGCAUCGGGACCUGUCCUGGAUGGUCGCCCACGAGAUCCUCCCGGUCAGGGCCGUUAUGCACUCACGGGGCAUGGCGAGGACAUCCGCGUGCCCCCGACCAGGCUGCGGCCAAGAAGAGUCGGUGAGGCACAUGCUCUGGGAGUGCAGAGCCGCCAGGGACCUGUGGAAGGAAGCAGGCCCCCUGAUCACCUCGUGUCUGCCAGCAGGGGAGGACCUAACACCUCAGCUCGUGCUGUAUGGGGUGGGCCGAAGGCCCAUUUCAUCGAAGACCUUCACCAAGCUCUG
ensembl:lncRNA